UACAGAGGUCCCGAGCGUUGUUCGGAUUCACUGGGCGUAAAGGGUGCGUAGGCGGCUUUUUAAGUCAGGGGUGAAAGACGGUGGCUCAACCAUCGCAGUGCCCUUGAUACUGAAGAGCUUGAAUGGACUAGAGGUAGGCGGAAUGUGACAAGUAGCGGUGAAAUGCAUAGAUAUGUCACAGAACACCGAUUGCGAAGGCAGCUUACUAUGGUUUAAUUGACGCUGAGGCACGAAAGCGUGGGGAUCAAACAGG
rnacentral:rRNA from 1 species